rnacentral:lncRNA from 1 species
UGCCUCUCUUCUUGUCGCAUUUGUAUUUGCUAUUACAGAUGACAUCAUUUCUGUUCCUUUCCGGGGCAGUAUCAAGACCCCAGAUUUAUUGAGGUGGAACAAAACUGUCACUUCAUGUGAAUAAAGAUGAGAUGUUUAUAUUGCUGUCCCAACCAGGACUCAAAAGGAGGUGGCUAUCCUCUUGAAUCCAAGCCAGGGGACCCAUGCUGGGCUUGCUCACAGCUGCUUCUCGCCAGAACGCGGCCAAGAGGAUUUCUUUCAUCAGAGGAGAGCAAAAGGCGGAGAGGACCCCGGAGAAGAGGACUGGCGCCCUCUAGAGGAUGAGGAAGCUCAAUACCACCAUGACAGAGGAAAUUGAC